rnacentral:rRNA from 1 species
CCUACGGGGGGCAGCAGUGAGGAAUAUUGGUCAAUGGGCGCGAGCCUGAACCAGCCAAGUAGCGUGAAGGAUGACUGCCCUACGGGUUGUAAACUUCUUUUAUAAAGGAAUAAAGUGAGGCACGUGUGCCUUUUUGUAUGUACUUUAUGAAUAAGGAUCGGCUAACUCCGUGCCAGCAGCCGCGGUAAUACGGAGGAUCCGAGCGUUAUCCGGAUUUAUUGGGUUUAAAGGGAGCGUAGAUGGGUUGUUAAGUCAGUUGUGAAAGUUUGGGGCUCAACCGUAAAAGUGCAAUUGAAACUGGCAGCCUUGAGUACAGUUGAGGUAGGCGGAAUGCGUGGUGUAGCGGUGAAAUGCUUAGAUAUCAUGAAGAACUCCGAUUGCGAAGGCAGCUUACUAAACUGCCACUGACAUUGAUGCUCGAAAGUGUGGGUAUCAAACAGGAUUAGAUACCCUAGUAGUC